rnacentral:lncRNA from 1 species
AGAUGAACACUUGCAAGAAUGAGGAUUUGAUUUCACAUGAAUAUUUUGAUCCUUGUGAAAAUUGAAGCAUGAUUUAAUGAAACUCUUUUAUCAUUUUUAAUUUGAUUCAAAUCAUUUUAUAAAGUUGGUUCUCAAUGGAUUUUCCUCCUUACUUUCCUUCUUCAUGCGAAGUUUUGAUGAAAAAUAAAAAGGAAAAAGUUGAAGGAAAC